rnacentral:lncRNA from 1 species
GCAGAGCUUUCAGUGAGCCGAGAUGGUGCCACUGCACUCCAGCCUGGGCAACAGAGUGAGACUCCGUCUCAAAAAAAAAAAAAAAAAAAGAAAAAAAGAAAAGCAUUAGGUAAGGCCACAGCUGUCAUAGAUAGUGAUUCCUCUGAUGUAUCUGGGCCAAGUAAAUUGAAAACCUUCUGGAAGGGAUUAACCAUUUUAGAUGCCAUUAAGAACAUUUGCGAUUCAUGAAAGGUGGUCAAGAUAUUGAUAUUCUCAGAAGUUUGGAAGAAGUUGGUUCCAACCCUCACAAAUGACUUUGAAAGGUUUAACACUUCAGUGGAAGAAGUCACCGCACAUGUGGUGGAAACAGCAAGAGAACUAGAAUUAGAAGUGGUGCCUCAAGAUGUGACUGAAUUGCCGCAAUCUCAUGAUCAAACUUGAAUGGAUGAGGAGUUGCUUCUUAUGGAUGAGCAAAGAAAAUGGCUUCUUGAAAUGGAUUCUACUCCUGGUGAAGAUGCUGUGAACGUUGUUGAAGUGACAACAAAGGACUUAGAAUAUUACAUAAAUGUAGUUGAUAAAGCAGCAGCAGGGUUUGAGAGGACUGACUCCAAUUUGAAAGAAGUUCUACUGUGGGUAUAAUGCUGUCAAACAGCAUCACAUUCUAUGGAGAAGUCUUUUGUGAAAGGAAAAGUCAAUCAAUAUGACAAAGUUCACUGUUGUCUUAUUUUGAGAAAUUGCCACAGCCACCCCAGCCUUCAGCAAUCAUCAACAUCAAAGCAAGACCCUCCAUUAGCAACAAGAUUAUGGCUCGCUGAAGGCUCAGAUGAUCAUUAGCAUUUUUUAGAAAUAAAGUAUUUUUAAAUUAAGGAGAGGUGCCCGAUGAGCUCCCAGUCAUGUGGUUCAGGGCGGGCUCUGGAAGACUCACAGAGGAGACUCCUCCGAGAAACCAAGAAGGUUUCUGUCCAAGUCGGGAUCUGCUCUGCUCAGGAUGCUCCUCCAACACACACAGUGAAAAACUGAGCACCUAGAGAGCAACACCAAAAACCCAUGGCCAAUAAUGGAGAGCCAAAUCAGGAGAGCAUUCAGCAAAGCAAUUCUUGCUGUAGAAGGAACAGCACAAAAAGCUGGAAGGAAACUGAGGCAUGCGUGAAAGAUAACUUGUCAGUGUUUGCAGUCUACUGAGAUCCCCGCUGCAAGAAAAGGCAGGAUUUCCACUUGCUUCUUGGCCCGCCUCUGUUGUCCAGAAUCCAGGACAGGUGACAAGAGAAGCAGAUGUGAUCUGCACAAGCUGGCUCAGCUGGGUUGGGAGUUGCUCUUCCUGGACAGGCCGGGAAGGGUGCUGGAGGGGAGGGAGGAGGAGAGAGGUUUUAGGGGAGGGGUGCUGAGCAGUCAGGGACCUGUAAGGUCACAUUUCUUUCAGGUAUUCUUUCUAGGUGUACUGAAUGGGAACAUUGUCUGUCAUCCCUAGACUGCAUUAAAGACCUAAACUGCUUCCAUUUA